GGAAGGCCUCACCCUUGGCCUCAAAGUCCAGCAUGUGAAAUUAUAAUAGACCCCAGCCAGUGUUAGGAUUUGGGUGUGAAGAAUGUGCUUUUGGAUCCACAAGUAAAUAAGUGACCAACUUUACUGAGGAAAACUUCAAAGGAGAAGUGACAUUUGAAGGCUUCGACGGAUUUGAUGGCCAAGGCUCCAACACCAACCUGUGACCUUGAGAAAGGAGGCCACAAGCUGAAGAUGGCAGGGCAGAAGGACAGAAGGAGCCUGAGUCCUUGGUGAUGGUGACUUGCUGUCCCAGCCUCACACUGCCUCCCUCCAGACAUAUCUGUUUAAAUGAAAGAAAAAUAAACUUCUAUCUUGUUUAA